rnacentral:rRNA from 1 species
UAGCGGCGAGCGAAGCGGGAAGAGCUCAAAUUUAUAAUCUGGCACCUUCGGUGUCCGAGUUGUAAUCUCUAGAAGUGUUUUCCGCGUUGGACCGCACACAAGUCUGUUGGAAUACAGCGGCAUAGUGGUGAAACCCCCGUAUAUGGUGCGGACGCCCAGCGCUUUGUGAUACACUUUCAAUGAGUCGAGUUGUUUGGGAAUGCAGCUCAAAUUGGGUGGUAAAUUCCAUCUAAAGCUAAAUAUUGGCGAGAGACCGAUAGCGAACAAGUACCGUGAGGGAAAGAUGAAAAGCACUUUGGAAAGAGAGUUAACAGUACGUGAAAUUGUUGGAAGGGAAACGCUUGAAGUCAGACUUGCUUGCCGGAGCUUGCUUCGGUUUGCAGGCCAGCAUCAGUUUUCCGGGGUGGAUAAUGACGGUUUGAAGGUAGCAGUCUCGGCUGUGUUAUAGCUUUCCGUUGGAUACAUCCUGGGGGACUGAGGAACGCAGCGUGCUUUUUGCGAAAGACUCGUCUUUUUCACGCUUAGGAUGCUGGUGGAAUGGCUUUAAACGACCCGUCUUAA